rnacentral:rRNA from 1 species
UACGGAGGGGGCUAGCGUUGUUCGGAAUUACUGGGCGUAAAGCGCGCGUAGGCGGACCUGCAAGUCGGGGGUGAAAGCCCGAGGCUCAACCUCGGAACUGCCUUCGAUACUGCGGGUCUCGAGUCCGGGAGAGGUGAGUGGAAUUCCUAGUGUAGAGGUGAAAUUCGUAGAUAUUCGGAAGAACACCAGUGGCGAAGGCGGCUCACUGGACCGGCAUUGACGCUGAGGUGCGAAAGCGUGGGGAGCAACAGG